CUUUUUCUUUUUUUUUUUUUUUGUGGUUUUACAGUUUUAUAUCUUUGUUAUAUUUUUGAGACCUAAAGGAAAAAAAUGCACUGUCUGCUGCUACUGGUUUCAGUCCAGUGCACAACGGAUUGAAAGUGAUCUGAACAGAUUUUCAAGUGCACAACAGAUCAAAAACGUGAGGGAGUGGAUAGGUGCAAUGAGAAAGUAGAAUACUGAGUGCAAUAUCUGCAGAACUGUUCUCAUGGUACACUCCAGAUUCCUUGAGUGUGUGUAUCAGUCACCUUUAUGUAUGCACACACCAUUUGUGUACACAGUUCUCUGGUUUUAGUUCUCUCAGUUCUCAGAUGGCGCUUCAGGAGCCGAACGUGGCGUGCUGUGCUGCUCCAACAACCAUUGCCUGGCUUUUCUCUUGGACACGGAUGGAAAGCACCAUCUUUUCAUCAAAACACACCCCUGGUUCCUUCAAUUUCCAAACAAAACCUCAGUGCUGUGGAUUUUACAAUUGAGGUGUGGAGAGAAGAGUGACACAUUGCCUUCAUCAGGAUCACAGUUAACUCUGAAGACCAACACAAAGUUGCUCCUUUAGCUCAAAGAGCUUUCUUACAAUUUCUCUUGCAAAAGACAUCUCUGUUUUCCCCUCCAGCUUCUGUUGUAUUGCUGAAGGAUGUUUCAUGCCUUUCCCACGUCCUGUGGCACAGCAAGAAUAGCAGAGAAGAGAGUGCUUAAUUGUCAACAUCGCUCAAGCAGUUCAAGCAGGAGUGGUGUUCUCCAGCCAGCUCUCCACGGCUUCCCUAACACACCAGUGAGCCACGAGACUCAGGCAGAAAUUCCAGUGUGAGUCAUGAGAUGAUACCAUGCCACCUGCUCAGAAAGCCUUGUUUGCUGUUGAGCUGUCUCCAGGAACUUUCUUUGCCUCCAAUUUAGGUAAUGUUUUUAUUACCCUACUUUUUAAAUAGGGGCUGUGACUUGCUGUGGUCCUGAUGCUGCUGGGGCCACUUUUCUGGUCCAGUUAAUUUACUUCAGCUGGUUGUGAAGGCUCCCCAAUGACAACUUUCAGGUAACAGGAAAGAAAGAACAACUCUCCUUGCAGGAGUUAGUAGUUAAAGAGUCACUCUGUGAAGCUGUAGGGUCCAGCACUGAUUUGUAGCACCACCUUCGGCAAGCAGCUUUUGCUUUUGUCUGUCAAGCUUCACAAGGGGAGGGAUGGUGGAUGCAGAGCUCUUGUGACCUUGGUAGGUGCUAGGGGAGGCCACCUCUUCAGGAUUAGAGGAAUGGAUGGGAAUCAUGGAAUUCUAAUGAGCACUGACUCGUGAGAGACAACACUUGGAGGCUUUUUGUGAUGCCUUUUGAACUGCAGCCAGCCCUGCUGGUCAUGCUCCUGACAUGCCUCCGAGCUGAUUGCAUGGAGAUUUCCUUGCAUUUGGUACAGAAUGCCUGCUCUCAGAUGGUGUUUCACAUUCUCAUGACUUCAGCCUGCCUGUUCUGAUAUGCCAGCGUGCCUGCUGCUCGCUCCUGUGCGCUCCAGUGGGUCAGGAGUGCUGCUCCCUUCCUGGCGUGGGAUUUCCCUGUGGUUCUCAAGGAUGUGGUGUCAGCUUAGCUGUCCCAAAUCUCUGUGUCCUGAAAGCCUCUUUCCCCAUCACUUGUCAAGCCACACCUGCCUUUUCUCCUCCUCCUCCUACCCCAGACUUUCUCUCUAUUUUUUUUUUUUUUUUUUUUUUGUGAUGUUGUUACACUAAAUCUUCUCUAGGACUCGAUGUUGAAGCAAAGGUGGUCAAAGGAGGGAGGGAAAGGAUAUAUUCAUUCAAUUAUAGGGACUCGCUAAACAAACAAACAAACAAAAAGGAAUAUUUAUCACUGUAGUUCUCCUGCAAUUUUGGCAUGGCAAAGGUGGUUCUCUUCUCUCAGUCAGAGACAGAUUUUUUUCAGAGCUUUAACAUCAAAUUUAAUACGUCAUUUAAGAUAUGUGAUUGCACAAAAUGUGCUGGUGUUUUUCUACUGGAAAGACUGUGAUCUUUGCAACAGUUUUUGCUCUGACUCAGGUUCACAGCCCUCAGGAAGCUCUAAGGGUGGAAGGAAGGCAAAUUUCCAAAUGAAGGAAAAGGAAAUAAGCAUAACAGAGAACUGAGAGAGCCCAGUUCUUCCUUCAGGACAGUGCUUAAGUACUUUGAUGUGGUAGCAGAAUUUCUUCUUGAUGAGGGAGGACAUAUCAGCCAAGUCCCUUAGUAACUCACUAAGUAUCCUUCCUUAUCAAAUUUUUCCACCACACAUAUAUUUAUUUACCAAGCGUCUUUUGUAUUCAGGUUUUCCACCACACAUAUUUAUUUACUGCACCUCUCUUUUACAACUCCUGUUCCGUGAGCAAGAUAUUCUGUUGCAGAACUUUCUAUUUAGUGCUGGACUGCCCCAGUUCAUGAGUGAACCUUCUCUCCUUACCCCUGAAAUGCCUCUGUUGUGUUUGUGGCACAUUUUCUUGUCCCACUAAUUUCUUUGGAUAGACAAGCUGAGGCACCAAGGGGAAUACAUGACUUAAGACCCUGCAAGGAGACAGUGGCUGAUGAAGAAGUGAAGAUUACACAGGUCUUGUCUCCAACAGUAAAUCAAUGAGAAUAUACACUGUGUCUCAUGCUACAUAAUGGUGAGAGACAUGAGCUGCUACCAUAAAAAGAACAAUUUAGGGAGUAUAUAUAUAUCCCCUGACAUUUAGAAUGUUCUCUUUCCAUAUGUAAGAGAUGUAAGUGGGAUUCUAGCUCUUAUAUCCAGCCUGUGAUGUGUCAGUAUAAGAGGAAAUUGCAAGUCUGAUGCUGAAAUGACAAUGAAUGGGUGGGAAAAUUGUGGCAACUCAGACCUCACUGCUGAGAUCCCAUUUAAUCAGUGUACAUACCAUGUCCUUCAUUAUACCCAUUUUUAUAUUAAUUUUAUCUCUUUUUUUUUUUUUUUUCAGACUGUGAUACAGGUUGUGGACCUUCAGCAUUUGUACAGGCUGAUAAAAAAGGACAAGUAAAGUACAAAUACAGAUAAUUAAUCAGUACCACCUAUCCCAUUGCCCAAUUGUUAAUUUUGCAAAACAUCUUAUUCUGUAACGUGACAGGUAUGGUUUGUUUUGCUUUGAAAGUAAAGUGCUUUAGUGUUCAGUGCUCUGCAGCUUUAAAUUCUCAUUUUAAUGCUCGUUUUGUCUCCUGAAGGCCACAGUCUUUACCCCUUGAGGCAGAGACUUUGUUCUCUUUCAACAGCUGCUUCAUUUUUCUCUUUUCUUUUGAUCCUUUUAGCUAGAACUUUCAAUUUUCAGUCUAUGGAAGAAGAAAAUUCUAGCAUUAAACAUAAAAUCAUAUUCCACUUUCAUUUCUGAGUAGUGCUUAUUUGAUUCAAAUAAAUAAAUUUAUUUGAAACAAGGAAUAGCAACAAUAUGAUACUUCAGAUAAGUAUUACUGGGAUCAGUGAAGCAAAAUAAAAUAAACCUGUAUUUGCUACACACCCUGAAUUCUACUUUUUAAAAAUUUUCACUAAAACACUUUUUUAUUUGUAAUCUCAGGCCAAUCAUCUCAUUUCUGCUGUGAUAGGACAGGAUGCCUUUAUUUCUCCUGGUAUCUUCUUCUAUUCUUCUGAUGAUUUUGGACAAAAAUAGGCAGCGAGAAAUUAGAGAGAAAGGGAAAGGUGAUGUCAGCUGUUGUGCUGUGACUGUGUUAGCUUCAUUGACUUAGGAAAUCCUGUGGAAAGAUUAUUGUCUUAUCCUGGACACACAGGUAACUCGUUGCAGAAAUAUAAAAGUUCAAUCUAUCCUAUUUGUGUUACAAAGUCAGAACAUAUAGGCAUCUCAGUAAACCCUUGCAUUAGAAUUUUAAAUGGAAUUUAGUUAUUUUAUUAUCCAAAGUCCUGGUGAAAAAUAUUUAACCACUCCCAAGCUUAAUUUCCCUAAAAUGUUCACGGGAUUUAGAAAGCCUAGCCUGUGAAAGAGGUUCUGUGAUGCACCUGAAGAGGUACCUGGAUAUCUUCAAGAAACUGGGACCACAUCUCUCAUUGGUAGAUAAUUCCUGAACAUGUGGCCUGUGACUCUUCCCCUCAUCAGGGAUGCACCUUCUGGGUGGGUGCAACAGAUCCUGGAUGCUUGCCCAAAACCUGGGAAAUGGUAAUGGAAAACUGUGUAAUGGGAAUUACCCAAAACUGGCUAAUGGGAAAAGGAAUUAGCCUUAAAGACACUGCAACGGCAAAUAUGACACUCUGAGACAAAUCAGCCCCUAUUUACAAUGUGCCACGUUUGUUGUAAUUCACUAUAAAAUGUAAAUAUUAUCCCAUGGAAUAUUAACAGCAUAUCCAUCCUUGCUUCCCGGUGUUGUCUUGUUGAUUCACAUCUCAUUAGUUCCCUGCCCUUCUCUUCCUUGUCUUCCUUCUCUGGUGGAAAGUUUGGAUUUCUGCUUCCCAAAUGGGUUGGGUGCAUUGGAGCCUGACUCUGUCUGUUCAGGGCACUCUGCUGUGCAACGUCAUCCAGCCAGCUUUCCCAAAUUCUGCAUUCCUUCUCUCCUGCUUUCCCACUGCCCUUCUGCCUCCUCCUGCCAGAUGCUGCCUCAUUCUGGGCCUGACUUGAGGCUAUUCUGUCUGAUUUGCAUCCCACAGCUGUUAUUUGAUCUCAGUUCUGCUCUUUUCUCCCUCCUCCCCCUCCUAGUUUUGAUCUAGUUCCAGAGUUUCAUUAUCUAAUUCAUUUGUUCUGGUAGACCUUUAAUUUCUUCGUCUUUUAUUAGGCCUAAUGGGAAUUGUUUUCUCGCUUUGGAGCUUAGUGAUGGCUUCUUUUCCCAUUUAAUAUGUCCAGGCUGCCAGGCACUUGUAGCAGCCUGCACCUCAGCCUACAGCAGGCCAUGGUUGUUAUCUGGCUUUUCCCAGCAGUUGUUUGGCUCAGAACCAAGAACGCAGGAGUGCCCAAAAAGCCUGUGUGAUGUCUGCCCCUGACAAUGGGACAAAAUUACCAGCUCACUUCAGAGAUUGGCACCCUCAAAACUCUGCCUUUCUCUACAUGUGGCUGGAUAUGGUUCAUUUGUGAGGUUUGCCUGGGAGACAGGCAGGAGAUGUUACACAUCCUGCAGAAAAAAACAACAACAAAAAAAAAACCAAACAAAAAAAACCCCAAAAAACCAAAAACCCUCAGCUGCCUUUUUGCCAGGUUCCAAUCUCAGGAAUCCAAAGAGCCAUCCUGGAUGUGACUUAAAGAUGGCAAACACUGAAAGCAGCAUGCUGAGCGGGUUUCAAUUUUCUUUUACAGGCACAGGACAAACAGGAGGUGAAUUUACGGAAGCUGCCUCAGCCCCCAGUUCUGGGCACCACUCGACACCAGCACAGUCAUUUUCCUUCACCCACAUUCUCAAUUUUAAGGGUCUUGACAUGUUCUGCAUUGUGGCUGAUGGUCCAGUCAGUGGUUGCUGCUCCUUAUCCAUGCUUCCACAUCUCCAUACAUUUUUUAUAUACACAGUUGUUACUCCUGAAAUAGACACAGAUGCAUUUUGGGAACUGUCACAACCCCUAUUUUACCAGGCAAUGAAUCAGAGAAUUAAUCACUUGCUGCUUUCAGCAGUAUAGGAUAUAGAGUCACUCCUAUCAAUUUACUAACCAAGAAACAAAGUGCUAAUUUAAGUUGCUAGCCACACAAAGUUCACACAAGGUAAAGGAGAGUAAAACAUAAGUGAGCAUGUAGUCUGACUCCUCUGCAAAUUGUGAGUUUGAUGGUGUGUUAAGUAAAUGCACCUCAGUUACUGAAUAUUUUUUGCAUAAGCAGAGUACAAAUUCUCAAACGUUAUUUAAAACAUUACUGUGUUCCUAAUAAAGUCUGACUGUAACAAACCAGCGUG
rnacentral:lncRNA from 1 species